GAUGAAGAACGUAGCGAAAUGCGAUACUUGGUGUGAAUUGCAGAAUCCCGUGAACCAUCGAGUCUUUGAACGCAAGUUGCGCCCGAAGCCAUUAGGCCGAGGGCACGCCUGCCUGGGCGUCACACGUCGUUGCCCCCCCAUCUACUCCUUCGGGAUUGCGGGGGGCGGAUGAUGGCCUCCCGUGCGCCUCGCCGCGCGGUUGGCAUAAAUGCCAAGUCCUCGGCGACGCACGCCACGACAAUCGGUGGUUGCGAAACCUCGGUUGCCCGUCGUGUGCGGUCGUCGCGCAUCGAGGGCUCGAAAAAAUUGCCGGGUUCCGGCUCGGCUUUCAACGCGACCCCAGGUCAGGCGGGGCUACCCGCUGAGUUUAAGCAUAUCAAUAAGCGGAGGA
rnacentral:misc_RNA from 1 species